rnacentral:rRNA from 1 species
GGUUAAGCGACUAAGCGUACACGGUGGAUGCCCUGGCAGUCAGAGGCGAUGAAGGACGUGCUAAUCUGCGAUAAGCGUCGGUGAGGUGAUAUGAACCGUUAUAACCGGCGAUUUCCGAAUGGGGAAACCCAGUGUGUUUCGACACACUAUCAUUAACUGAAUCCAUAGGUUAAUGAGGCGAACCGGGGGAACUGAAACAUCUAAGUACCCCGAGGAAAAGAAAUCAACCGAGAUUCCCCCAGUAGCGGCGAGCGAACGGGGAGGAGCCCAGAGCCUGAAUCAGUGUGUGUGUUAGUGGAAGCGUCUGGAAAGGCGUGCGAUACAGGGUGACAGCCCCGUACACAAAAAUGCACAUAUUGUGAGCUCGAUGAGUAGGGCGGGACACGUGGUAUCCUGUCUGAAUAUGGGGGGACCAUCCUCCAAGGCUAAAUACUCCUGACUGACCGAUAGUGAACCAGUACCGUGAGGGAAAGGCGAAAAGAACCCCGGCGAGGGGAGUGAAAAAGAACCUGAAACCGUGUACGUACAAGCAGUGGGAGCCUCUUAAUGGGGUGACUGCGUACCUUUUGUAUAAUGGGUCAGCGACUUAUAUUCUGUAGCAAGGUUAACCGAAUAGGGGAGCCGAAGGGAAACCGAGUCUUAACUGGGCGUUAAGUUGCAGGGUAUAGACCCGAAACCCGGUGAUCUAGCCAUGGGCAGGUUGAAGGUUGGGUAACACUAACUGGAGGACCGAACCGACUAAUGUUGAAAAAUUAGCGGAUGACUUGUGGCUGGGGGUGAAAGGCCAAUCAAACCGGGAGAUAGCUGGUUCUCCCCGAAAGCUAUUUAGGUAGCGCCUCGUGAAUUCAUCUCCGGGGGUAGAGCACUGUUUCGGCAAGGGGGUCAUCCCGACUUACCAACCCGAUGCAAACUGCGAAUACCGGAGAAUGUUAUCACGGGAGACACACGGCGGGUGCUAACGUCCGUCGUGAAGAGGGAAACAACCCAGACCGCCAGCUAAGGUCCCAAAGUCAUGGUUAAGUGGGAAACGAUGUGGGAAGGCCCAGACAGCCAGGAUGUUGGCUUAGAAGCAGCCAUCAUUUAAAGAAAGCGUAAUAGCUCACUGGUCGAGUCGGCCUGCGCGGAAGAUGUAACGGGGCUAAACCAUGCACCGAAGCUGCGGCAGCGACACUAUGUGUUGUUGGGUAGGGGAGCGUUCUGUAAGCCUGUGAAGGUGGCCUGUGAGGGUUGCUGGAGGUAUCAGAAGUGCGAAUGCUGACAUAAGUAACGAUAAAGCGGGUGAAAUGCCCGCUCGCCGGAAGACCAAGGGUUCCUGUCCAACGUUAAUCGGGGCAGGGUGAGUCGACCCCUAAGGCGAGGCCGAAAGGCGUAGUCGAUGGGAAACAGGUUAAUAUUCCUGUACUUGGUGUUACUGCGAAGGGGGGACGGAGAAGGCUAUGUUGGCCGGGCGACGGUUGUCCCGGUUUAAGCGUGUAGGCUGGUUUUCCAGGCAAAUCCGGAAAACCAAGGCUGAGGCGUGAUGACGAGGCACUACGGUGCUGAAGCGACAAAUGCCCUGCUUCCAGGAAAAGCCUCUAAGCAUCAGGUAACAUCAAAUCGUACCCCAAACCGACACAGGUGGUCAGGUAGAGAAUACCAAGGCGCUUGAGAGAACUCGGGUGAAGGAACUAGGCAAAAUGGUGCCGUAACUUCGGGAGAAGGCACGCUGAUAUGUAGGUGAAGCGACUUGCUCGUGGAGCUGAAAUCAGUCGAAGAUACCAGCUGGCUGCAACUGUUUAUUAAAAACACAGCACUGUGCAAACACGAAAGUGGACGUAUACGGUGUGACGCCUGCCCGGUGCCGGAAGGUUAAUUGAUGGGGUUAGCGGUAACGCGAAGCUCUUGAUCGAAGCCCCGGUAAACGGCGGCCGUAACUAUAACGGUCCUAAGGUAGCGAAAUUCCUUGUCGGGUAAGUUCCGACCUGCACGAAUGGCGUAAUGAUGGCCAGGCUGUCUCCACCCGAGACUCAGUGAAAUUGAACUCGCUGUGAAGAUGCAGUGUACCCGCGGCAAGACGGAAAGACCCCGUGAACCUUUACUAUAGCUUGACACUGAACAUUGAGCCUUGAUGUGUAGGAUAGGUGGGAGGCUUUGAAGUGUGGACGCCAGUCUGCAUGGAGCCGACCUUGAAAUACCACCCUUUAAUGUUUGAUGUUCUAACGUUGGCCCGUAAUCCGGGUUGCGGACAGUGUCUGGUGGGUAGUUUGACUGGGGCGGUCUCCUCCUAAAGAGUAACGGAGGAGCACGAAGGUUGGCUAAUCCUGGUCGGACAUCAGGAGGUUAGUGCAAUGGCAUAAGCCAGCUUGACUGCGAGCGUGACGGCGCGAGCAGGUGCGAAAGCAGGUCAUAGUGAUCCGGUGGUUCUGAAUGGAAGGGCCAUCGCUCAACGGAUAAAAGGUACUCCGGGGAUAACAGGCUGAUACCGCCCAAGAGUUCAUAUCGACGGCGGUGUUUGGCACCUCGAUGUCGGCUCAUCACAUCCUGGGGCUGAAGUAGGUCCCAAGGGUAUGGCUGUUCGCCAUUUAAAGUGGUACGCGAGCUGGGUUUAGAACGUCGUGAGACAGUUCGGUCCCUAUCUGCCGUGGGCGCUGGAGAACUGAGGGGGGCUGCUCCUAGUACGAGAGGACCGGAGUGGACGCAUCACUGGUGUUCGGGUUGUCAUGCCAAUGGCACUGCCCGGUAGCUAAAUGCGGAAGAGAUAAGUGCUGAAAGCAUCUAAGCACGAAACUUGCCCCGAGAUGAGUUCUCCCUGACUCCUUGAGGGUCCUGAAGGAACGUUGAAGACGACGACGUUGAUAGGCCGGGUGUGUAAGCGCAGCGAUGCGUUGAGCUAACCGGUACUAAUGAACCGUGAGGCUUAACCUU